GGGCGAGUUUGCAAUAAUAAUAACUGCUAACUUAACAUUACUUUGGUUGGAAUCCAAAGCUCCCCCA
rnacentral:tRNA from 1 species